AGAGUUUGAUCCUGGCUCAGGAUGAACGCUAGCUACAGGCUUAACACAUGCAAGUCGAGGGGCAGCAUUGAGAUAGCUUGCUAUUUCAGAUGGCGACCGGCGCACGGGUGAGUAACGCGUAUCCAACCUUCCCCUUAGUAGGGGAUAGCCCGGUGAAAAUCGGAUUAAUACCCUAUGUUGUUCGAAGCAGACAUCUAAAUUGAACCAAAGGUUUACCGCUAAGGGAUGGGGAUGCGUCUGAUUAGGUAGUAGGCGGGGUAACGGCCCACCUAGCCGACGAUCAGUAGGGGUUCUGAGAGGAAGGUCCCCCACAUUGGAACUGAGCCAGGAUCAAACUC
rnacentral:rRNA from 1 species